rnacentral:rRNA from 1 species
GAGUUUGAUCCUGGCUCAGGAUGAACGCUGGCGGUCUGCUUAACACAUGCAGUCGAACGGGCUCUUCGGAGCUAGUGGCGGACGGGUGAGUAACACGUGAGAAUCUGGCUCCCGGUCGGGGACAACAGAGGGAAACUUCUGCUAAUCCCGGAUGAGCCGAAAGGUAAAAGAUUUAUCGUCGGGAGAUGAGCUCGCGUCUGAUUAGCUAGUUGGUGAGGUAAAGGCUCACCAAGGCGACGAUCAGUAGCUGGUCUGAGAGGAUGAUCAGCCACACUGGGACUGAGACACGGCCCAGACUCCUACGGGAGGCAGCAGUGGGGAAUUUUCCGCAAUGGGCGCAAGCCUGACGGAGACAAGACCGCGUGGGAGAGGAAGGCUCUUGGGUUGUAAACCCCUUUUCUCACAGGGAGAACAACCAUGACGGUACUUGAGGAAUAAGCCUCGGCUAACUCCGUGCCAGCAGCCGCGGUAAUACCGAGGAGGCCAGCGUUAUCCCGAAUGAUUGGGCGUUAAGCGUCCCUAGGUGGCUGUUCAAGUUUGCUGUCAAAGACAGUGGCCUUAACUACUGAAAAGGCAGUGGAAACUGAACAGCCUAGAGUG